rnacentral:rRNA from 1 species
AGGAUCAUUGUCGAAACCUGCCUAGCAGAACGACCCGUGAACGCGUUGUGAAACAACACCGGGGGGUGGCACGGGCGCAUCCCUGCUCUCUCGCCACCGUCCGGCACGUCUCGUGGCGAUUGGUCCCGUCGGGUCUAACCACCGCGAGGCGAAACGAACAAACCCCCGGCGCGAAUCGCGCCAAGGAAUCGAAACAAAUAAAGGAGAACGUCCCUCGACAUCCCACCGUUCGCGGUGCCGAUGAUCGGGUGGUGUUGUUCUUUUGUGACAAGAUAUACAAAACGACUCUCGGCAACGGAUAUCUCGGCUCUCGCAUCGAUGAAGAACGUAGCGAAAUGCGAUACUUGGUGUGAAUUGCAGAAUCCCGUGAACCAUCGAGUCUUUGAACGCAAGUUGCGCCCCAAGCCAUUAGGCCGAGGGCACGUCUGCCUGGGUGUCACGCAUCGUCGCCCCAUCCAACCCCGAGCCAUCCGGCAACGGUGGUGUUGUGGGCGGAAAUUGGCCUCCCGUGCGCCAACGGCUAGCGGUUGGCCCAAAUUCGAGUCCUCGGCGACGGCAUCGCCGCGACGAUCGGUGGUAAUGCUAUCGGCUGCCUCGUUCGGAGUCGCGCGCGUUCGUCGAUCGAGACCCUAGACCCUUUCGGCAUCGCAUGGACGGUGCUCGCAUCGCGACCCCAGGUCAGGCGGGAUUACCCGCUGAGUUUA